AGGGAAUAUUGGACAAUGGGGGAAACCCUGAUCCAGCGACGCCGCGUGAGUGAUGAAGGCCUUCGGGUCGUAAAGCUCUGUUGUACGGGAAGAAGAGUUCACAGUUAAUAGCUGUGAAUUUUGACUGUAGCGUAUAAGAAAGGACCGGCUAACUUCGUGCCAGCAGCCGCGGUAAGACGAGGGGUCCUAGCGUUGUUCGGAAUCACUGGGCGUAAAGCGCAUGUAGGCGGCUUUGUAAGUCAGAUGUGAAAUCCCGUGGCUCAACCACGGAACUGCAUUUGAUACUGCAAGGCUUGAGUAUGGGAGAGGAUGGCAGAAUUCCUGGUGUAGUGGUGAAAUACGUAGAUAUCAGGAGGAAUACCGGUGGCGAAGGCGGCCAUCUGGCCUAAUACUGACGCUGAGAUGCGAAAGCACGGGGAUCAAAC
rnacentral:rRNA from 1 species